UUGAUUAAAAAUCAAAUCGGGAAUCCUUCGGUUGGAACUUGGAAUUAAAAGCCAUCAAGUCCAGAGAGCCGGAUGAUCCCACGGGUGGCUUUCAUCCAAGAGAUUGAGAUUAGCCUGGAAAGCUGCGAGUUGGCUGCUAGAAUUGAUGAAGUUGUUGUCAAAGCUCUGUUGCUGAGGUGACGAAGCCUGCGGAGAUUGUGCCAUUUCCAUGCAAAUGAGAGCCAUGAGGUUGGCUUGUUGGCAUUGCAUGUUGACCAGCUCAGCCUGUGUCUUGGCCAAUUGUGCUUGGAGAUCGUUCACUUGCUUCUGCAGCUGGCAAAUGGCCCCCGCACUUCCAUAUACAGGAUCUCUCAGCCUGGCGUUUGCUUCAUAAACCAUGCUGCUCACUGCAUCGGCCCUCUGGGACUCCGGCAGCUCCUGAAAAUUGUUAAUUAUAUAGACUUGAUCAAUCAAUAUUCAUGAUUGGUGCUCGCUCUUCAUUAAUCAAUUAUGCACAGAACUAAUGAAUUGAGAAAGGUCAUGAGGCAGGUUGGUUUUCCUUGUCGUCAAACGCUUUGAAAGUGCUUCAAAAGUACAAACUCGUUACGCGAGUUUCUUCUUCCAGUUCCAGCUGAAAAGAGAUUUUCUUUUUCUCACUGAGCUGUACAGCCGUAAACCAUCACCUCCCGAACAGUUGAAUGCCCAGUGGCUGAUGUUCAAAAAAAAUGUUCUUUUUGCACCAAUGUGAGAAAGAAAAAGAGAAAAAGUUGUGGGGUGCAGGGCCAGGGUUAGUUGUGGAAACCGACGGGCAAGUCAAAAGUGGGAGUUGGGACUUUUAAUUAAAAGUCCACUAUGUGAACUACCCUUCAUGUAGUUUUUCAAUUUACAGUUUGAAAAAAACAGCUCAGCGCCAUGCAUCUAAUUAGGCAUUCCCUACCAUGAUGACGCUAAUACGUGCAAAUGUCUUCCUUGCGUACACACUAUUCUAGAUACAGGAGCUACUUCUGGAUGUAGUAGUGUCCCUAAUUUCAACAACGGACCGAGAUUAAUGUUGUCGGUCCAUUCUGGUUGUUGAACCUUUAACAUAAGACCUCAAACAUAUCUAGAAAGAUGAUUUUCCAAGCACAAUUAACGUAGAAAUAUCGGGACCAUGCUUAUUCAGUGCCGGAUGACCCUUAAUUACCUACCUGUAAAAACUUGAUUAUGUUGCUGGCUCCGAAGACACGGUGAGCGGUGGUGAACUUGAUGGGAUCGUUGGGAGGAAAAUAUGGUGCCAGGACACACUUCUCGGCACACCUCCGCCGGAGGAUCUUGCAUGCAGCGCAGGGGCUGACCACCACGGCCGGAGGAGGAGGCGUGGGAGGAGAGGAGGGAGAAGAAGGAGAAACCGAGCGAGAAGAUUUUGAAGUAAUAGUUGUAGCGGUUGUUGUGUCACUAUACCCCAUUUUUUUCCGACGGUGCGGAGCAGCAGUAUCAGUGUGUGAGGUGUGUGUUUGUAAGAAGGAAGAGAGUGAGGAAGUGGGAAGGGAUUCGGGG
rnacentral:lncRNA from 1 species